UCUUCCCCACAGAAGCCUGGAUUCUAAGAGUGUCUUUUCCCUAUUGGUCUAGUGAGAUCCUCCCAGAUGUGACAUGUUCUUGUUUGCUACUUCACUUGCGGAGGUAAGAUGGGUAUAGCAUUUCCUGUAUCUCAGUAUGGAAUGAAGAAAGCAUAGUGGAAGCUGAAAGGGAAACGGAAGCUGCCAAAUGUAAUGGGGCUGAUUAACCUGCAACAUUCAAUGUGGGAUUUAUGCAUAAACAGA